CCUACGGGAGACUGCAGUGAGGAAUAUUGGUCAAUGGCCGUAAGGCUGAACCAGCCAAGUCGCGUGAAGGAAGAAGGAUCUAUGGUUUGUAAACUUCUUUUAUAGGGGAAUAAAGGUAUCCACGUGUGGAUCAUUGCAUGUACACUAUGAAUAAGCAUCGGCUAACUCCGUGCCAGCAGCCGCGGUAAUACGGAGGAUGCGAGCGUUAUCCGGAUUUAUUGGGUUUAAAGGGUGCGUAGGUUGUUUUUUAAGUCCGCGGUGAAAGUUUGUGGCUCAACCAUAAAAUGGCCGUUGAAACUGGAAGACUAGAGUGUGUUUGAGGUAGGCGGAAUGCGUGGUGUAGCGGUGAAAUGCAUAGAUAUCACGCAGAACUCCGAUUGCGAAGGCAGCUUACUAAGCCAUAACUGACACUGAAGCACGAAAGCGUGGGGAUCAAACAGGAUUAGAUACCCGUGUAGUC
rnacentral:rRNA from 1 species